rnacentral:rRNA from 1 species
AUUCACAAUGACUCUCGGCAACGGAUAUCUCGGCUCUUGCAUCGAUGAAGAACGUAGCGAAAUGCGAUACUUGGUGUGAAUUGCAGAAUCCCGUGAACCAUCGAGUCUUUGAACGCAAGUUGCGCCCGAAGCCAUUAGGCUGAGGGCACGUCUGCCUGGGUGUCGCACA